UGAAGAAGUCCCACAUCUCAGUAGCUGGGC
rnacentral:piRNA from 1 species